AGUGAACGCUGGCGGCGUGCCUAAUACAUGCAAGUCGAACGGAGUGGCGCACGGGCGAGUAAUGUAUAGCUAAUCUGCCCUACACUAGAGGACAACAGUUGGAAACGACUGCUAAUACUCUAUAGUGUCGUAUGAGGCGAUAUUGUAUCAGCUAGUUGGUGAGGUAAUGGCUCACUAAGGAUAUGACGCAUAACUGGUCUGAGAGGAUGAUCAGUCACACUGGAACGUAGACACGGUCGAGACUCCUACGGGAGUCAGCAGUAGGGAAUUUUGCUCAAUGGGGGUGUCCCUUAAGCAGCAACGCCGUGGAGAGGAUUACACGUUUCGGAGCGUAAACUCCUGUUAUUAGGGAAGCGUUACCUAACGAAUAAGCACCGGCUAACUCCGUGCCAGCAGCCGCGGUAAUAC
rnacentral:rRNA from 1 species